GUCUAUGGUCAUACCACCCUGAAUAUGGCCGAUCUCAUCUGAUUUCAGAAGUUAAGCAGUAUCAGGCCUGGUUAGUACUUGGAUAAACAAUACUUAGGAAUAAACCUAACCAAAGAAU
ensembl:rRNA 5S_rRNA 5S ribosomal RNA